UACAGAGGGGGCAAGCGUUAUUCGGAAUUAUUGGGCGUAAAGGGCGCGUAGGCGGCCUUGCAAGUGACGGGUGAAAUCCCUCGGCUUAACCGAGGAACUGCCUGUCAGACUGCAUGGCUUGAGACCGGGAGAGGUGAGUGGAAUUCCCAGUGUAGCGGUGAAAUGCGUAGAUAUUGGGAGGAACACCAGUGGCGAAGGCGGCUCACUGGGACGGUACUGACGCUGAGACGCGAAAGCGUGGGGAGCGAACAGG
rnacentral:rRNA from 1 species